CUAUGCUAUAAACAUUUAACUGUGCUAAAAACCUAUUUUGCUUUUUUCUUCCUUUCCUAGUGUCCAUUUAAAGUAAAUUUUCAGAUAUCAAAUGUAUCAAACAGGCUUCAUUUUGGACAUUAGAAUGCAAUUCUUGGCUGAACCUAUCAUUUUAAGGGCUGAAACACUGCAGAGAUAAUCAAUAAAAGGUGGUAUUUUUUCUGAUUUCCAUUGAUGUACAAGAUUGUUCUCU